GUACAUGCAUUCAUCUUCUCCAACAUGUGCAUAUAAAACUAAACCAACUUACCAAGUGCUAAUAGCUCAAUUGGUAAAGAUUUUAGGCAAAAGUUCAGAGGUCGCCGGUUCGAGUAGCGCUUGGCUCGGGCCUGAGGGGAUAUAUGGGCUUUGGCCCAGAACCUCUUUGAUUAUUAAAAAAAAAAAAAAAACCAACUUAUAACUUUCUUCUAGGGUACCGCAAAGGUCAGAUCCAACUAGCUUUUUUCCUCUAUUUGCGAUUGUGUAUGACACUUUGAUAACAACUUUUGAUUGAACCAAAGGGAUGAUAUAUUUUGGAGUUUUAGUGUCUAUCAGACAUGGAAAAUCUUCACGCA
rnacentral:lncRNA from 1 species